GAUGAACGCUAGCGGCAGGCUUAACACAUGCAAGUCGAGGGGCAGCGCGAUGUAGCAAUACAUUGGCGGCGACCGGCGCACGGGUGCGUAACACGUAUGGAACUUACCCUUUACUGGGAGAUAGCCCGGAGAAAUCCGGAUUAAUAUCCCAUAAUAAACGAAGUGGCAUCACUUUGUUUGAAAGCUCCGGCGGUAAAGGAUGGCCAUGCGCACGAUUAGCUAGUAGGUGAGGUAACGGCUCACCUAGGCUACGAUCGUUAGGGGCCUGAGAGGGUUAUCCCCCACACUGGUACUGAGACACGGACCAGACUCCUACGGGAGGCAGCAGUGAGGAAUAUUGCGCAAUGGAGGCAACUCUGACGCAGCCAUGCCGCGUGCAGGAAGAAGGCGCUACGCGUUGUAAAACUGCUUUUUAACCGGGAAGAAACCCUCCGACGUGUCGGAGGUUGACGGUACCGGAGGAAUAAGCACCGGCUAACUUCGUGCCAGCAGCCGCGGUAA
rnacentral:rRNA from 1 species